GACGAACGCUGGCGGCGUGCUUAACACAUGCAAGUCGAACGAUGAAGCCUUAGCUUGCUUUGGUGGAUUAGUGGCGAACGGGUGAGUAACACGUGAGCAACGUGCCCAGGACUCUGGAAUAACCGCGGGAAACCGUGGCUAAUACCGGAUAGGUGCCGAGGCCGCAUGGUCUUCGGUUGGAAAGUUUUUGCGGUUCUGGAUCGGCUCACGGCCUAUCAGCUUGUUGGUGGGGUAAUGGCCUACCAAGGCGACGACGGGUAGCCGGCCUGAGAGGGUGACCGGCCACCCUGGGACUGAGACACGGCCCAGACUCCUACGGGAGGCAGCAGUGGGGAAUAUUGCACAAUGGGCGCAAGCCUGAUGCAGCAACGCCGCGUGGGGGAUGACGGCCUUCGGGUUGUAAACCUCUUUUAGUAGGGAAGAAGCGCAAGUGACGGUACCUGCAGAAAAAGCACCGGCUAACUACGUG
rnacentral:rRNA from 1 species